rnacentral:misc_RNA from 1 species
UCGGCUUUGGAGGAUGAACUGGAGGCGUUGUUGGAGUGGAGGAGAAGAGUCCUGACAAAACGACAUAAAGGAGGAUGAAGAAGAUGGCGACGCUAUCUCCUCCAUUGAUAUCUUUUUCAUGCACCUUAGUGUAUCAGUUGUGUAUGUUCUUUUGUGUUUUUCGGUUGUGCUAGAGUUUGCUCAAUAAGGAAUUCCAGAAAGUUUUGGAGAUG